CACAGGCAAGGUUGGGAACAGUCGUAACUCUUACCUGAUCUCCUUUUUCUGAAAAACAACAAAUAAGCAAGGGUGAGUACAAACGUACUCAGCAGCCCACCUUCACCCGCGGAAUGGGGAAAUCAGAUAUAAUGCAUGGAAUAUGUGGAGCUCAGGAUAUUUUGCAGAAACAGCAAUAUUUUAUGCAGAGUUGUUUUGAAAAACAUUUUGUAUUUUUGCAAAGCGCAUCCUCUCCAAAAGGAGCAGGAAGUUUUUCAGUAUUAUAACAAAAUCCCCUGGACUAAACCAUCCAGGUAUCUUAGCAGUUCCCAAUGGUUUUCAUUUUCAAAAACAGCUACUGGACUUCCCGUCCACCAUAGCUCACGGCUCAACCGUCGAACCUUUUAAAAACCGCUUUUCUCAAAACCAUCUCUUUUUUUUGGAAAACAAAACAUUAAUUGUCAUACCAUACCAGACUCGUCCAUUUCUGUGGACACAGACUAUUCGAAUAGGUUUUCAAACUCUGCGCAGAGGUGUACACUUUACCCACUAGUUCGGCUCUGCGAUCCCAUGGCCAAUGAGACCCGAAUCCGACUCUCUUUCUUUCCCCGCAUGUCCUGACCUUAACGGUUAUCCGGAAGGAGUCAGGCCACCACCAUGUCCAAACCGGACAAAACUUUCCCCCUCCUUAUCCUCCUGGUGCUCCCCAGCCUUCAUAACCCUGGGGUUGGACCGUACGAGUUCAGAUUGAGUGACUGCCCACACAGUCUCGAGUGGUUGUACUAUUAAAGAGUACAGGUAGUGAAGAUGACAAACUGGUCCUUAUAUGAGGGGACAAUCCUUCUGCUCACGCCUAAACCAGCUGAGCCAACACCUUAGGCCCUCCCCUAAACCAGGGAGUCCCUGAUUAUCCCACUCACAAGGUGAUAAGGGUGAAAACCCUUCAUCACACACAUUUUGAAAAGCAUUUUCUUUUGAAAACUCACACCUGUUCUCAAAUCAUUUGGAACAUAUAUAUCAGGGAUUGAUUGCGACAAGCGGCUGGGUGGCCAUAAUAACUUGUCUCAAAAUCAUAUCAUGCAUAAAAUAACAGGUUGAGGGUUGUGGUUGAAAAAUCAUAGGUAAUUUAUGCAUCAAAGGGAUCCAGUGAGCUUGUCGUGCUUAUUUGGUGAAGGGGGAAGGGGAGCUCGCGGAACUGGCUUCUGGCUCCACCGCCUAGCGUAGACUUGCGGAUCUGGCCUCCACGAGACGGCACGAACGCUCCGAUAACUAUGCAACAUGAACAAGCAAACAUACAAACGAGCAAGUAUACCAACAAAUAUUUAGUAUAGUGAUCAGAAUAGUGAUACAUGGAUGGGUAGAGUGUUGAGUAGAAUAUGUGUCAUGUGGUGUUGAGAUACUACUAGUGGUGGAGCGGAGGUGCUUACCAGGAGGGUGGACUGGAGGCGAAGCGACACUAUGCGUGUAGCUGGUAGAGCAGAGUAACUGAGUGGGUGGGGUGUUUGCCUUGGCUGAGGGUGUUGAGUGUGUGUGGAGAGGGAGAGGGUAGCUGGGUGUAUUUAUAGCUGGGUGUAUGUGGUGUAGCACAGUGAAGUUCACUGUUGGUGAGAAUAGUGACGAAUGAAUCGUCUGACUUAGUAUGAACAGGAGAGUUAUCGGCGGAAUAUGGGACAAGAGUAUUUUGGGAGUUUUCUGGAAUAUGGACCAUGCUUAAGGGAUGACAUGGUUGGAUAGGGAAUAGUUUGAUAAGAAUUUAGAAACGACAAUUAUUGGAAUCUGAGUUUGGGAGCCUGGUUCGAAGGAAUCUCAAAGUUAAGUGUGCUUAACUUGGAGAAACCUAGGAUGGGUGACCACAUGGGAAGUUCCCUACUGGAAGGAAAAUCACAGUCACCGGAGUUUGUAUGACUGUAAUAUGGGUCUGGCUGGUCUUAGGUGGACUGGACAACAUGAUGUAUGAGUAGUUGAAAUUUGGGGUGAUCGGCUAAUCGAUGAAUAGUAACGAUGAAUAGUGACGACGGAAAAGUUACUAGAUAUCAUCGAUGAGUAGUAACGAUGAUGAAUAGUAACGAUGAUGAAUAGUAACGAUGAUGAAUAAUAACGCUAAACAGUAACGAUGGUGAAUAGUGUCAAUGAAUAGUAAUGAUGAAUAGUAAUGGUGAAUAGUGAUGGUGAAUAGUCGUAUGAACUAUGAAUAGGAACUAUGAACGAACGAUGAACGAUGAAUAGGAACUAUGAACGAACGAUCGAAUGAUCGGACGAACGAACGAUCAGAAUUUCGGCAGCAUAACGGCAGGACAAAGAUUAUCUGGAAGAACGAUGAAUAGGGACUAUGAACGAACGAUGAACGAUGAAUAGGAACUAUGAACGAACGAUGAACGAUCGAAUGAUCGAACGAACGAACGAUCGGAAUUUCGGCAGCAUAACGGGAGGAAAAAGAUUAUUUGGAUGAACAAACGGACGAACGAUCGAACGAUCGGACGAACGAACCAUGAACGAUCGAAUGAACGAUCGAACGAUCGGACGAACGAACGAACAAACUAAGAACAGGGGACGAACGAUCGAAGAACGAUCGAACGAUCCUUGUGCUAGUGUGUGCUUGUGUGGGAAGUGGAGUGGGUGUGUGUGGGGGGGGAAGAGAGUUGCCAUGAAAUGGCUUGGGGUGGGAUGAGAGGAGGCCCUUGCCCCUAUAUUUAUAGCCAUGGUGGGGGGAUUAGGGGGAGGGAUGAGAGGAUUAGUGGGAGGAUGAGAUGAUUAGUGGGAGAUUAGCAUGUAUUUGUCUUGUAUAAGUGAGAUUUGCUUGUAGAGCUCACCGUAUGACACUGGAGGCAUACGUAUACGUAUGAGCAUGAGGAAAGUUAUGAAGAAAAUAUUUGUAGGGACUUGAAAAUGAUUCUGAAGGUAUUUCUCAAGAGGAAAAUACUUGGAGAUAUAUCGGUGGAAUAUCUGGGCAUUAUUUCUGGAAAGAACUUGAGGGGGAUUACUGGGGAAAUAUCUGGGCAGUAUUUCUGGAAAGAAUUUGAGGGGGAUCACUGGGGAAAUAUUUGUAGGAUAUUUUGAGGAGGAUUUUAAAGAGAAUAUAGACCACUAUACUUUAUUUGUUGAUAUCAACUCGCAAACAAACAUUUUGAAAUGAAUUUCGAAAUUCAUUUUGAAUUUAGAGCGAGUUUGAGAAAAUUUCAGGAUUUGAAUUUUUGGGAUGCUACAAAUCUACCCCACUUAAAAGGAAUCUCGUCCUCGAGAUUCGGCUUAGAAGGGUUAUGGGUAUAGCUUUACUUUAGCUACAUAUCUUCACUUUGCAACUCUUCGAGGAGAUGGAACUUCAACAAGAUCUGGUCUGGCGGAGCAUCUGGUUGCUGAUUGCAAACGCUGAUUCUGGCUACUCAAAGAUCAUCUUCAGGCUUCUGGCUUUCGCUUGGCAGCUAGCUUACUGAAGAAGCAACGAUGCCAACACACAAACCUUUCUCUUGUGAACUCCCACAUGGAUUCCUUCCUUGAUUGGUCUUCUGGUGCUUCAUCAACGGAACUUGGGUGACCACUUCCCAUCCAAAAACUUAUAUGCUUUGAUGAUCUGGUCCUCCACAAGCUUGCUACAGGCCUUCUUCUUUUUUUUCUCCAUAGCAGGAACCUUACUGGAACACUACCCCACUUAAAAAGAAUGAGGGUAGAUCUCUUGAAUCUUGGGGAUUUGAACUCCUUGAAGUACCUCAUAACAAGGGUGUUACGGGGCCUUCUUCUUCUGCUGCUGCUUGAGCAGGCUGCGGAGAAAUGACUGACACAGGGUUGAUUUUGGGAGAACCUUCUUCUCAUCUUCUCUUCGCUAUCUUCUUUUCACUGACCCUUUCUUUCUCUUUGCUCUUCCCACUGGAGGAUUCUAUCAAAGAGUAUUACCAUCAUACAGAGGAGGAAACCAAAGACUAUGAACCAUGUACAACAGUCUUCAACCCAAGAAUCACCAAGCAUUGUGAUCUUAGGGGCGAGGGAGUGGAAAAAUGGAGUUGCUUGCGAUUUGGCAGAGGGGAUUUUUAUCGGGAGUGUGCUUUGAUUUGGAUGGGAACUGAGGGAGCUGGUGGGGGGAUUUGUAGGCAAGCGGGGGUGUCCGGUUGCGGAGUAGUGGUGAUGGAGUAGGUGCUACGAGACAGCGGGUGCGACAAGGAGAGGGGGCUGGUGUUGCCGGCGAUGAUGGUGGUGGUGGGUGCGCUGCAAGGGGGGGGGUGGGCGGCGGUAGUGCGCUGCAAAGGGGGGCGGUGGGUGGCGGUGGUAGUGCGCAUGGAGGCGAGGCAUGAGUGCGGGGGGGGGGCACGGGUGAGUGGUGGGGUCAAUGACCCUAAUGUUUGUGGUCUCUGGUUCCAAUAAUCUUUGCAUCUCUGUAUGGUAAUAACUCCUUCUGUCCUCUUUUCCUGUUUACUUUGACUCAGGGGCAGUGCUUUGAUUCCCACGGUCGGUCCUUUUGACUGAGCGGCUGGACUGGUUUCUUCUGUAGCUUGUUCCAGGCUUCAAGGGUAAGCUUCCCGGUAUCUUCUUGGGUAAGGCACUUUUCUCUUGAGAUGGGUUAAGAUGAGAAUGGAAGCAUAAGGUGAGGAUUAGAUCUAAUUUGUGUGAUUGAUGUUUUUAGAGAAAACCUUUCUUAAAAAGAAAGAAAACACAUAAGUUCAGCAAUGAUAAGCACAAGCAAAUCAAAUGUUUUGAAUAACGGAAGGAUAGAGUUUUUCCAAAGCACGGACUACUCAGAUUCGGGGGCUAUGCAUAACUACUAUUGCUUGGUUCCUGAAUUGAGAACUAUGCUAAAUGCGACUUAUGAGCACUAACAUUAAAGCAUCACAUAUACACUCAAAAGGGGAGAAAACAUCAAGCGAAAUUCAUUUUGAAAUGCCCUAGGGGGCCACACAAUUAGAGUUUUGCAAAACACGAGUCUACACGAUUACCUCUCAUACAUGCAGGGCUUUGGCCAAAGUGAAGAAAAACUUCACUACCCAAUGCACGCAGAGGACUAGGUAUAACUAACUUCAGACCAGGCAGCUUCUCUUCUGGCAAGGCUGGCGCACAACUUCAAUCUGAGAUAUCUCCUGGAUGGGUCAAGAGGGAGCUGAUGUUGAUGACUUCUUCUGGUGGAGAUUGAGAUGGCAACACGGGGUCGAACUCUUCUUCAACCGGGACUGGCUCUUGUAGCUCCUCAGAGGGCGACGGUGCUGGCGGGGUGCUUGCAGCUUCUUCCUUGACCUCAAGGGACGGUGCUGGAAUCUUCUUCAUGGUGAGGGGCUCAAACAACUCUAGCGGGGGAUCUUGGGAGGAUUCAGGGUGCUCUUGCUUAUCCAUAGCCUUAGGGAAGACUGGAAUUCCUUCCAAGACUAUGGUUCCUUCUGGUAGUUCCCAAUCCUUCUUCUCUCCUCUGAUAGAGACCGGGUGACCUUCAAGAAUCUGGGGAUCUUCAGCUCUUCUGGGUUGAACUGGGUUGGACGAAGCGGGCUCUUGGAUCCGCAGGGCUCUACGUUGGUUAUGGGUUACUGUGGCAGAACCUCCCAAGUUAUUGGGCCCACAUGCACCUGUCCUUGUCUCAAAGACCUCAGACUGCUAUGCAUGUGCACCAGAUAACUUAACAGGAUCCGUCCGAUUGCCCCAAGGACAUCGGAUAAACCACGAACAACCAGAACCGUGGGAUUAAGUAACACAAAUCACACACACCAAUAUUGUUGCAGCGGAAAUCUUACUACCAAAUUUUACAGGUUACAAAAAUUUUACAUUAGUUUAUCGGAGUGAUUACAAAAGUAUAAGUUUGAAAUAUAUGCUAGCUCAAGGGGUCAUCCUCAAUAAGAAGUAUAGAAGGGUUACUUAGACUUAUAAGAAGGCCGAGCCCACCGGCACUUAACACUAUCAACAACAUCACAAAGUUAGAACCUGAAAAACAACAGGGAAUAAAACCCUGAGUAUGGAAUUACUCAGCAAGACUUACCCGACUAAAGAAAAGACUCUCAAGGGUAUGCUGGUUAAAUAGGAGUCAAGGAGAGGCUUUAGCAAAAAUCAACUUAUAUUUUUGUAGAAGUAGUUUACUAAAGUGAGUCCUUACUUUCAAUCUUUUAACGCCAUAUUAAGUAUUAAUAGACUCUAUUUGCAUCUAGUCUAAUUUCAACAUCUCAUCAAUACAACAUCAUUUUUAUCCAUAGUGUUCACAUCCUGACUUUAGGUUGUAGAAAAGUGACCAAGUCUUCAUAACCGCGAAGGUACGGUGAUCCGAAUCGAUUAUACUCAGCUGAGGAUCUCCAAUCACACGACAUAUGUAGCACUUAACCCUUGCAUAUGUCAACCCGCCACCGGGGUUCUUAAGACCAGAUCAGGUUCACGCAAACCGAGAGCACAGAUACACCACCGACCGGCCUCUUGCCACGGAGGGUACACGCUACUCUCGCCACCGCUCCACGCCCAUUUCGUGUUAUCUUAUUCUGGCCUUAGUCUGCCCGAGGCAAGGCUUACCCAUGACGAGGCAUGUGACCAGUUAAAGGGUCCUCGGUCAGCACGCCUACAUACGCAUUAAUCCUUAACCAACCUGGGUAGAACAUCACCUGUUCCUACCCCAAGUCUCAAUUUAAGUAUUUCCAUCCUUAGGAUUGUGUCUGUUCCUUAGGAUGAAAGAGCAUCACAGGGAACUUUGCAGUAAGAUCCCACUAUUGCUCCACAUGAAAAUAUUCUUGCAGGUAGAAGCCAUCCUCUCCCGGGUUAGACUGAGGACAACCUCUAUCCACAAGAUCUAAGCAAGGCUAAGCAUUUUUGUAAAUCAUAAUUUUGAUACUUCACAGAAGUAUCUAUAAAGGUAUGGAUAUCAAGGAAAGCAAUGCAUCAAAGGUAUUUAAAAACACAAGGAAAGGGGUUGCAUGCACCGGGGCUUGCCUGAGUAACACUAGGUUAGUGUUGGUUAGGUGACGUCCGCUUGAUGAGUAUUCUUCGACCGAGCACUUGCUUUAUUUAACCAUCUUCAGGUUGAUUCAUCAGCAUCACCAUGCGGAGUAGCCCGCACUUGGGGUCGACUUGACUCUUGUCCUCCACAUCUCGUGAUUAAUAAGCGUACCUAAAUGAUUUGCAUAAUGCACAUGAAUGCAUAUAAACAGGAAUAACACAAAUCUAAAUAGUGCUACGCGAUAGCGAAUUAAACACCUAGCGGCGAGGCGUUGUACAAUCUUACACGGAAACACUAGUUAUUAAUAUACGACUAAGCGCAAUAAUUACGCUUCUCUAACCUAACGCAAACAUCACCAACCACAAACUAUACACAUGAAAUACAAUUAGCCUAAUCACAACUUAUCAAUUAAUUAAUUUCUAAACUUAUCCUUUGCUUCAUAAAUUAUACUACAUCUUUAUAAACGAUUAAAAUAUUUCAUCAACACACAAACAUAGAAUAUGACAACCACUAUAGAAAUAUACUGACCCCAACCAUCGAAGAAAUACAUCUACCUGCCAGACAUGAGAAACACUAGUCCUAUAAUUUGUAUUAUUAAUUUGGUCACAUAAUUUAGAUAUGUCUACCAUUUACCCUGCAUAUGAAUCGCAUCUAAAAUGCUGACUUCAACCCACGUAUACUAAAUCAAGAAAAUUAUCGCGUUCAACAAUUCUAUUUGAUUCAUCAACCUAGUCAGCUAAUAAAAAAUAGUGAAGCAGCUUACCUAAAUUCGACUUGGAAUUGCAGAAACUACGACGAUCACAUGUUUAAGCAGAUCGUCGAAUAUUUGACGAGCGCCACGCGAGAAUCGCUUCUUCACCCAAAUCUCGGGAUUUCAUGAUGGCACAUGGAAUGACGACGAGAUUUUUUUUGGAGCGAGCUGGAACCUGGGCACGCGCGCACAUAGGAGCAACGACGGCCAGGUGUCAGAGAGCCGAGCAAGACGCGACCCAACGAUCUGACGCGCGCGGCGCCGAGGAAGUUCCACGACUACGCCACGGCGAACGAUGUCGACAACAAGACCAGGGUGGCACAGAUCCGGGACUGUUGCACGCACGACACGACGACGAGAACCUAGGAUGUGCGACACACGACACGCAGUCAGCCUGUCGCACGACCGAGCGAUGACGACGAACAGAGAGCUUCAGGCGCGGCCAACAGAUAGCUUGCGCGCAGGGACUUCACGGCGCACGGUGCUGGGCGCGUAAGGAGCAGGACGCACACCGGCGAGCUGAGCGACGGCAGGAAGCUCAACGCAUGCACCAGAGAGCUGGAACACUGCAGACCACGACGCUGGAGGAACCUCAUGGUGCGCAAACACCAGAGAACUCGACGGCGACGCAUGCUCAAGGAGACACGCGCGGUCAGGGAGCUCGACCGGCGGUCUGCAGCCGAGCGCACGCAGCAGCCAUGGGAGGAAGAACGGCUAGGCACCGGCCAACAGGGGAGCUCGGCUGGAGAGCAGCGAGCAGGAACAAUCGGCCAUGGAUUGGGCGCCUGGCGAGCAGACAGAGGGAGGAAGCGAGGGCGCUUGGGGGAGGAGAGUGACUGCACGCGCAGGAAGCUCUGCUGGAGGAGACGGACCACAUCUGGGCACCAGAGACGAGCGGCUGGGCGAACAGGGAGGGUGGUCGAGCGCCAUGGGAACAGGGGCUGGGCGCCGAGCGGAAGGGAGCCGGAGCGCGGCUGGAGGGAGAACUCGACGAGCUGCGCGCAGGGGAAUUCCAGGGGAAAGAGAGAGCCGCGAGCGCGGAGGGAGAGAAGCUGGGCGCGGCCUGCAGAGGAGCGCCGAGGACAGGGAAGAAGACGCGCAGAUUUUUCCACAAAAGCGGUCACGGUGGAGAAGACAUAAGAAUGACGCGCACGCACGAAAAAAUCAGCAGAGGGCAGUUGAGCGGAUGAGAUCGGCAGUGGCUGAGAAAAAUCGGAGAAUGGGAUAGAGAUGGAAGAAGGCCAGCUGCGCGUGAGAAUAAUAAUGGCGGGAUUUUUCUGUCCACGAACUGAACGGCGGCGGUAGAAAAUUAGGGCGUGGAGAUAGGAAUUAUGACGCCAGGAAGAGAUAGAGCUGAAGAAAAAUAUCCUGACCACGGACGGCUGAAAAGAUCAGAGAGAGAACGGCAGAAGAGGAGAUGAAGAGAUAUUUUCUUUGGUUGACGAAUAGGGACAGAAUUAAUUUAUUUCAAAAACUUUAGUCGUCGAGUUCAAAUUAAUUUGUCCGGGAUAAAAAUCAUCCGAGUGAGUCGAGCUUCCGAAUUCGUAUUCGCGCGAGCGAUGAGUUUUAAAUAAUUACCGGACGCACCGAUUUUCGGAAUAACCGUGUUCCGAACAUCACGAAAAUUUCGGAAGAGCCCGGAUAGAUAAAAAUAAAAACGAUGUCGAACUCACGACCGACGAAACAGAUGCGAUAUUAAAAUCGCGAUAGACGAAGAUGUUUAGAAUUUAGUAUCUGUUUUAUCCACUGACAUUACGUGCUUAAAUCCGUACUCGUUGUCGAGCGGAAUAUAAACACCUGGGGUGUUACAGCCCUCCACCCUUAAAAGAAUCUCGUCCCGAGAUUCGAAACGAAAGACUUCUAAGAGUAGAGCAGCAUGUAACCCAUUUCCUUAUCAGCGAUAAUCGUAAGGCAGUUCUGAGCGAAGGCAAGUGUCUCAGGAUGUUGUUUCCCCUAGUGGACAUAACAUGUAUCGACGUAAGCCAAUUUAGAAAUGUCCAUUAGUAGAGACAACAUCAGCCAGAGGAACACAUAAGGUUUCAUGUGUGCAGUUUGCUUUUUCUGAUGACACUAUACUAUCUGAGUCUGUUGGGCGAGCAGUAGAUAUGCGACUUUACCCAAACAGAAUCAGAUGCAACCUCUUGGGUAAAACACACAGAAAGAGGUUUACCAACAAGUGGUUACAGUAAGUUCAUAGCACACGAGACGGGUGUGAAUGUCGAAUAACAUCACAUUUGACCCGUGGCUAGCCAGAAAAUCCAAGUCCCUGAAAGGUGAUAUAGAUUCGAGAAAAUUACCAGUGGAGGGAUCUGUAGAUACGGACUUUACAACCAGUCCAUUUUAUCCAGCACUAGUCACAGCUUGACUUGAUCACACAUGCUGGAAAAGCACACGUGAGGCGAUCAAGGCACGACUAGAGCGAUGACUAGGUGGUUACUAAUCGACUUAAUCUCGAUUCUUGUAAGUACUUUCUUUAGAGUGAGUUGAACCAAAGUGAGUUUAGACAACUCGACAAAACGAUUUCUAAACUCAACCUUCGUUCACAAUGCAGUCACAAGUUAGUAAAACCAACUUGUUAAACUACUUUUGACAUUGAGCAAGUUCUCUCAGUACCUUCGGUAAGCCAAUGGUUGAGAGUUCCCAUUUGCGAGCAAAAGGUCAUGCAUUUGGGUAGAAAUCCAUUUGGUCAUGUUGUUCAUCUAUUUCUUUAUGCGAGAUGAAUCAUCCACUUGGUUAGAGAAUACUUGGAUUAAAUAAGAGGGCGAAUGAACAAACUCCUGCAUCUCAGCAGCAGGGCAAAGUCAAUCUCCAAUUUGAGAGCUAAUCAGUUGUUUUCCAACACUAAAAAGCUCCAAGGCUUCACCUUUACAAGAAGGAUGUAAAGGGAACUUGUAUAAGUAGUCUCUACCAAGAUCAAAAGAAAAGAGACCACACAUAAAAGUGGUAUGCCCCUUUUGAUCCAGCAAAAAUGAUAGAUGUUGCUUGAUCACUUCGACAAACAACACCAAAAUCGUUUCAAAGGAAGGUCCAUGGAAAAUAACAUAUCAGUGUAGUUCCAUAAUGGAUCAUAGCCAGAGACUUCGAUACCGGCAUGCGCCAAGCAGCAGAAUCCUGGGUGCACAUUCACAGGAGGCUCUCAGUUUCGCCGCGGUACCAUAAGUCCUUAACCAUGACACCAUUACAAAACUGGCACCAAUAAUGAAUCUCACGUGGUAAGAACAAUUUGUGUAGAGAUAACCUAUUAAUAUAAUCUCAUAAUGGAUUAUGACUACUAACUGUGAUACUAGCGUGUACCGAGCAGCACAACCAUGUGUAUGCAUCCACAGGAGGCCCUCGGUUUUGGCGCGGCAUCAUCAAUUUUAGUCAUAAUGCCAAUACUAGACAUAACCGAUAAGAAAUCUCACACAACACAAAUAGACUGGUCAAGGGUGAUAAUAUACAAAGAGAUACUCCACUUGUAUGAAUGGUUACAAGUAGAGAGCCAAAUAGAUUAUGGCCCAAGGAAAUGAACAAGACAUGGCCAUAACCUAAACUUGAUGAAAGGAGUAUGAUGGGAGACUGUUGCUUCAGCCCAAGAAUAUUUCUACGCCCAUCAUAAAGAUCACGAGGACAAGGAUUAGUAUCUGAUUAGAUACGGAGGGAAAACGAUCACAAGAUUAAGUUGGUAUGCCUUCGACAGAUAUGAGGAAACCAAAGGCAUCAAGUUCAAGGAAAAGAUUGGGUAGUCCUUUCCUAAGUUAGGUUGAUAAGGCACAUGAUGAUCCUUAAGAACAGGCAAACUGGAUAAGGGACAUCAACUUGUGCCAAUCGAAUAAGGACAUGGUUUAGGAUGGAGACAUGACUCGAAAUUCUUGUUUUAAGAUGGGUACACUUUAGAUCCAACAAAGAAAUUAUCUAGGCAUUUAUUUUUAUGUGUUUGGUCCUGGAGUGAUAACGGAAAAAUUUAAGUUUUGAGUCAUGGUUCACCAACUAAGAACAUAGCCUAAUUUUGGGUUUAGGCAAACAAGCCACUAACCUUCUAUCGACACAUCAAGUACAAGGGCAAACACAUAUGUCACCUAAAUAGAUUAUCUAAGAAUGGAGGACAGCUAUCUCAUCGAAGUUCAUAAUACCGCAUUACACCACAUUAUCUACAAUCACUGGUUACUGGAAUAAAGAUGAGAGAAGCAUUUUGGGUGUAUAGGUGACAAACAUGAUGCAACAAUCAGGAUGCAUGUUCGUCCUAUUCGUCCUCACUAAUUUUGCCAACAUAUUGUGGCAAUAACGUUCUAUAUCGGUGGCAUACGUUCUCUCACAGUAUUUUGCUAGUCGUCAGCUACACAUACGUUGUUUUCAAGGUUAGUGUACCUGCAGAAAAUCCAUUGCAGCCCAAUUUCCCAAUGAUGCAGUUCAAACAUGACAGUUUAUCACAGUUUAUACUCCAUAUAUUUCUAUAUAGAGGCUAGCUCAUCAUUAAGCGCCGAGCCACGCAUAGGCGCUGUUGCCACACUUUAACCAUAGGGCAACUCAUUAUGGUAACUCACCUUCUUACCUGAGCGUAGGUGCAUCGUUACAAGUACAUUACACUUCUCAGUAUUCCCAUGUCUGUAUACCCAUACACAUCCAUGGGGUACUGAAUUUCCGAAAAAGUAAAUACUCCACAUCGCAGCCUUCAUAUAUACAUAUGUGGAACAUGUAUAUAAUCAAGCGCCACAAUUAAACACUUCCCUAGACCGAAGGUUGUUCGGUCAUGCUCUCACAUCUCACCUUACCUUGAGCGUCGAUCCAUUCAAAACUGAAUGGCCUCAAAAAUAACAAUACACAUGUAUGCAAUACCCCCGGUUGUGGGUUAGUGGUUUUCAACUAAGCCACCUGAUAGUCCUUAGUUUAGGGCUUAACAGAGGAUGUCGCUAGCAUUAUAGUUUUUCAAAACUGUUUUUCAAAGCCAAACAAUGUGUUUAGUUGAAAAUAGGUUUUCUGAAACCAAAACUUUUGUUUUGAAAAUACGUAUGUGACCGUAGAUACUUAAUCCUGCUCUGAUACCAGCCUGUGGCAGAACCUCCCAAGUUAUUGGGCCCACAUGCACCUGUCCUUGUCUCAAAGACCUCAGACUGCUAUGCAUGUGCACCAGAUAACUUAACAGGAUCCGUCCGAUUGCCCCAAGGACAUCGGAUAAACCACGAACAACCAGAACCGUGGGAUUAAGUAACACAAAUCACACACACCAAUAUUGUUGCAGCGGAAAUCUUACUACCAAAUUUUACAGGUUACAAAAAUUUUACAUUAGUUUAUCAGAGUGAUUACAAAAGUAUAAGUUUGAAAUAUAUGCUAGCUCAAGGGGUCAUCCUCAAUAAGAAGUAUAGAAGGGUUACUUAGACUUAUAAGAAGGCCGAGCCCACCGGCACUUAACACCAUCAACAACAUCACAAAGUUAGAACCUGAAAAACAACAGGGAAUAAAACCCUGAGUAUGGAAUUACUCAGCAAGACUUACCCGACUAAAGAAAAGACUCUCAAGGGUAUGCUGGUUAAAUAGGAGUCAAGGAGAGGCUUUAGGCAAAAUCAACUUAUAUUUUUGUAGAAGUAGCUUACUAAAGUGAGUCCUUACUUUCAAUCUUUUAACGCCAUAUUAAGUAUUAAUAGACUCUAUUUGCAUCUAGUCUAAUUUCAACAUCUCAUCAAUACAACAUCAUUUUUAUCCAUAGUGUUCACAUCCUGACUUUAGGUUGUAGAAAAGUGACCAAGUCUUCAUAACCGCGAAGGUACGGCGAUCCGAAUCGAUUAUACUCAGCUGAGGAUCUCCAAUCACACGACAUAUGUAGCACUUAACCCUUGCAUAUGUCAACCCGCCACCGGGGUUCUUAAGACCAGAUCAGGUUCACGCAAACCGAGAGCACAGAUACACCACCGACCGGCCUCUUGCCACAGAGGGUACACACUACUCUCGCCACCGCUCCACGCCCAUUUCGUGUUAUCUUAUUCUGGCCUUAGUCUGCCCGAGGCAAGGCUUACCCAUGACGAGGCAUGUGACCAGUUAAAGGGUCCUCGGUCAGCACGCCUACAUACGCAUUAAUCCUUAACCAACCUAGGUAGAACAUCACCUGUUCCUACCCCAAGUCUCAAUUUAAGUAUUUCCAUCCUUAGGAUUGUGUCUGUUCCUUAGGAUGAAAGAGCAUCACAGGGAACUUUGCAGUAAGAUCCCACUAUUGCUCCACAUGAAAAUAUUCUUGCAGGUAGAAGCCAUCCUCUCCUGGGUUAGACUAAGGACAACCUCUAUCCACAAGAUCUAAGCAAGGCUAAGCAUUUUUGUAAAUCAUAAUUUUGAUACUUCACAGAAGUAUCUAUAAAGGUAUGGAUAUCAAGGAAAGCAAUGCAUCAAAGGGUUUCAAACAAUUCCUAUGAACCUAAUGCACAUUUCACUAGACUUAAGUGUGCGAAAAGUAUUUAAAAACACAAGGAAAGGGGUUGCAUGCACCGGGGCUUGCCUGAGUAACACUAGGUUAGUGUUGGUUAGGUGACGUCCGCUUGAUGAGUAUUCUUCGACCGAGCACUUGCUUUAUUUAACCAUCUUCAGGUUGAUUCAUCAGCAUCACCAUGCGGAGUAGCCCGCACUUGGGGUCGACUUGACUCUUGUCCUCCACAUCUCGUGAUUAAUA
rnacentral:lncRNA from 1 species